AGUAAGAGUACCGCUCUCAGAGGGUCUGAAGAUGAGCUAAAAUCAUGCCUGCAAUGGAACUUGCGUGGGAACAUUCUGACGUCUCCCUCGGAUUUCACAGUGUGCUGCACAGACCCACAGCACAGGGAGUGCAAAAUCAUUUGAAGCGUCUAGCUUCCUGGGUCAGCAGUAUUGAAUGGGUUCUGGAGUGUGUGACUCGUGUGCACUUCAAAAGCUUGGAGAGAAGAACUUCCCAGCUGUGUGGCGGAAGUGGGCCCUGGGUGCAGAGCUGGAAGCUUCCAAAUUCUCUGCGUGGGAGACUCAGGACUACCUCCACAUCCCGGGCUGCCCAGAGAGGUCUGAAGGCCCCAAGAGCAGGUGCCAGGGAGCGGGUGGCUCCGGCCGUACUGAGGCAGGGCUGCUGGCUCCUGCUCCGGCCUCUGUGCCUCUGAGCUAGCUGUCCUGGGACAGAGAAAAAUGCCUGCAGGAACUCAACUGAUCCACGAGGGAUGUGCGCAAUGGGCUCUGUUCUCCUGAGUUCUAUUGAGGGAAAUUUCAAGUUAAGGAGGAGGAAGAAAAUACACCACUGAUUUUAUUUUUGAGAUGGAGUCUUGCACUGUCGCCCAGGCUGGAGUGCAGUGGCACGAUCUUGGCUCACUGAAACCUCUGCUUCCUGGGUUCAAACGAUUCUCCUACCAGUAGCUGGGAUUACAGGCACCUGCCACCAUGCCAGGCUAACUUUUGUGUUUUUAGUAGAGAUGGGUUUUUUGUCAUGCUGGCCAGGUUGGCCUCGAACUCCUGACCUCAAGUGAUCCACCUGCCUUGGCCCCCCAGAGUGCUGGGAUUACAGGCAUGAGCCACCGUGCCUGGCCACCACUUACUUUAAAAUGCAUUUUUUCCCCUCAGGGGAAAAUUAGCAGCUAUUAUGAUUUCCUGCUUUUUGUAAGAAUGUUUUUUCAACUUCUAAUGUUUCAGACUUACCGGAAGCUCCCUGCUAUUUAGGGUUUGAAUGAUUAUGUGGCUCUUUUCUAAAAGUCAAAAUUCACUUGACAAGGGCCAAUUCAAUUUUUCUGAAAUAUCUGAUAUGAAAUGAAGAAGCUUGUAGAUACUAAGAACUUUGGAGAACAUUGGAGGAGAGAAUGCCGGCAAUGGCUUGCACUUUCUUCAGCACCGCUGAGAGAAGGGUUUGGAAUGUGCCCUCUUGUGUUCCGGGCGAGUGCUCCCCAUCCUAAGCCACUCAGGUCCCCAGAACGCGACAGCACCUGGAGGGCAGUGAGCUCGUCGUCCUUGGCGUUUGAAGGCUAUCUACCUGUCCCAUCCCGGUAGGCCACCUUCCUGCUGGGAACACUGGAAAACCACAGAAUUGCUUCUGAUGAGGUCCCUGGGAAGAUGUGCUCCAGGACUCAAAGCCAUGCCUAAAGAG
rnacentral:lncRNA from 13 species